GAGCCAGGGCGAGAGGUCCCAGAGAGCCCGCUGCGGAGACUCAGACGUCGAGGGACUGGAGAGACUCGGAGUCCGAGACGACCCCAGACCCAGGAGACCCAGAGCAGGAGUCGCCAAGGGACCUGGAAAGAACGAAAACUGCCUGCUCCCUGCUCCCCUACAGUCACGAGGGGCGAGCAGCGCAGGCACUCGUUCGAGGUGUCCCGUCAGCCGUAUUCCUGGAUCUCCCACGAUUCAUUGUGAAUCAAAUAUCUGUACUAUCCUGCAGGGAUAAGCUGGGCCUCUCGUGCGAAUCUCAGUAUGAAUCCCUGUGCCCACAAUGAGCGCGCAGAUGUUCGGGGACUAGAAUGUAACGGACUUAGAACAGAACAGAGCGCCUCUUGCACCUCCUGGCAGAGCCAGCCCCACUUG